CAAGUCUAAUAUCCUCAUGUGCCUUGGGCUAAAUCCAUUUACCAUGCUCACAUUCCCUCAUCCAAAUCUCUUAUGCCUUGGAAACUUUCCUUCGACGAGCGUCAUGUUAAUGAAAAGUUUGGGGCUAUAAUUUGUCAUCUCGUAUCUAGCUUAGGUUUACGUCACUAAGAAAUAUAUUCUUGUGAUCACCUAUUUUUUCUUGCAGGUUUUCUCAGGAUAUUUG
rnacentral:lncRNA from 1 species